rnacentral:lncRNA from 1 species
UUUAUUGGGAAAGCCCCCAGUGACUUUCCAAUGAAAUGGAUAGAGAAGGGAAAAGAGACCCUUCGGAAUCAGAUGAGUCCAUGAACUGGCAGCAGUCAGGGCAGUGAUGACAUCACAGAAGGAGGAUGGGCCUUAGACAGACAUCACUCUUUAGAAUCCCUGCAACUUUGAGCAAGUUCGUGAAUCUCACUAAGGCUCAGUUUCCUCCAUAAAAUUAAUCAAUAUCAGGGCCUCUGCAUUGGACAACUCCAGAGGGCACCAUUGGGGUUAUACCUUGUGUUUGCCUAACCUUCAUUGCAGUGGGCAGGUGCAUGCUUUCUACAAUGUCCUAAGGUCUAAAGGGGUAGAGUUCUGUGUGUGGCAUUUUAGGCCUGGAAAGGAUGAGAGUCUACAAAACCAGAGAAAUACUGCAGAGCUCCUAAAGUCCUUGGAAUGUCCUAAGUGCCAUUGGUAAGAAGCACACAUGACAACCUGGACUUUCCAUCAACAUUUGAAGCGGGAGCAGUCUUGUGGGAUCAAGCUCUUAACCUGUGGGGUCUGCUACUAACUCUGAGAUCCCAGACCACCACCCAUGAUCCCAGGCUGGAGGAAGCAGCAGGCUAGCGGAAUUCAGGACCAAUGAGCCAGGAAAGAGGACCCAAUGCAGAGCUCACAUCCCACCCUCCUUCCCCCAUGACAAAGCACUGGCAAACCCUGCCAAAGAAGAAGCUUGGCUGCAAAGCAGUCUGGAACUGGACCCGGGAUAGAUUCACCAGGAGCUCACCACCACAGGGAAUGCUGCACUUUGACUGGACAGAAUGCAUCCUCCAUGCCCACAGAGCAUGUGCCCAGGAUGAAUCUCACUGUAUCCCAGUUCCUCAUGCUUGGCCCCAAACCUCUUUUUCACAGUAAUAAAGAAAACACACUUUACAAAAAGG